UUUUUAGAGAGUUUGAUCCUGGCUCAGGACGAACGCUGGCGGCGUGCCUAACACAUGCAAGUCGAGCGGGAAGCCUUUAAUUGAGACUUCGGUUGAUUUUAAAGGUGGAGAGCGGCGGACGGGUGAGUAACGCGUGAGUAACCUGCCCAUAAGAGGGGGAUAACAACCGGAAACGGUUGCUAAUACCGCAUAUUAUGCAGAAACCGCAUGGUUUUUGUAUGAAAGAUUUAUCGCUUAUGGAUGGACUCGCGUCCAAUUAGCUAGUAGGUGGGGUAACGGCCCACCUAGGCGACGAUUGGUAGCCGAACUGAGAGGUUGAUCGGCCACAUUGGGACUGAGACACGGCCCAGACUCCUACGGGAGGCAGCAGUGGGGAAUAUUGCGCAAU
rnacentral:rRNA from 1 species